AUUGAACGCUGGCGGCAUGCCUUACACAUGCAAGUCGAACGGUAACAGGUCUUCGGAUGCUGACGAGUGGCGAACGGGUGAGUAAUACAUCGGAACGUGCCCGAUCGUGGGGGAUAACGAAGCGAAAGCUUUGCUAUUACCGCAUAAGAUCUACGGAUGAAAGCAGGGGACCGCAAGGCCUUGCGCGAACGGAGCGGCCGAUGGCAGACUAGGUAGUUGGUGGGAUAAAAGCUUACCAAGCCGACGAUCUGUAGCUGGUCUGAGAGGACGACCAGCCACACUGGGACUGAGACACGGCCCAGACUCCUACGGGAGGCAGCAGUGGGGAAUUUUGGACAAUGGGCGAAAGCCUGAUCCAGCCAUGCCGCGUGCAGGAUGAAGGCCUUCGGGUUGUAAACUGCUUUUGUACGGAACGAAAAGACUCUUUCUAAUAAAGAGGGUCCAUGACGGUACCGUAAGAAUAAGCACCGGCUAACUACGUGCCAGCAGCCGCGGUAACAC
rnacentral:rRNA from 1 species